CAACUUUAUUGGAUUCGAAAUGUCAUAAAAGUUCAAGCCCUUGGUCAUAAAAAAAAGAAAAAUUAAAUAAACUUUUCCUUUCCAGCUGGUUGGGUAAUAUUCAGAAUUAAUUGCAUCUCAUAACAUAUAUAGGGACAGAGGAGGAGAAAAAUAAGAAAAAGAAAUGAAUACAAUUGAAAGAAGACAAGUAUGUGUUGCCAGUCCAUAUAAUUAACCCAAAUCAACGUUACAGAUUCUUAUUAAAUGGGGGAAGGAAGGAUAAACAAUAGCUUUUAAUAUGUACUUAUUGGUCAAGAGGUAUCCACUCAAGUUCUAGUUCUAAUUCCCCACAUUCAACAUUCUGGAGCUUGAGUGAGACCUCCUGUUUCACCUUCCCAUCCACAAUGUUAAUUAUGCUAUCAUCUAUCAAGGCAUUGUCAUGUGAUUUCAACCAUUUUCCAAUCUGCAUGUUUCCAAACAUUUCUGGGUCCCCGAACGCCAUGGCUGCCGUUAUCAAGGGCUGGAUAUCCAGCUCUGCUUCUCCCAUUAUGUCAUCAGCUGAAAAUGUGUCAUGAUCGAAAACUUCCAACUUUACAGGCCCAAAAUCCUGUGGAACUGACAGCAUGAGUUCCUCAUUCCAAACUGGAUUCAAGUUGCUCCUUAUUACAGAUGUCUGAACUCUCUAAUAACAUAAAAAGCCACUUUAUCAUCAGCAAAAUGCAUUAUUUAACAUGAUCAGCAAAAUUCUUCACUUGUUUAAUGAGAAUUCAAAUUAUCUAGUAAGAAUUGAAACAUCAAAAUGCACAUGUAACUCCACACUAGGUGAAAACAUGUGUUCCUCAACAUCAAUAUGAGCUUCCACACAGACAAGCUUCAGCAAACCUGACAGGUCAUUCAACCAUGAUGUCAGCCAUUAACCAAAUGAUUAAUGGUUUUUACACCUACGUGUGAACAAGAAAGAAAAUGGGCAAAGGAAAUCCCACAGCACGUGCCAAAAUCAGUAUGAGAUUAGAAUUAAAAAAUCCAUUGUGAACCUUCUCUAAACCAAGGACUUUGAAAAUGAAAAGAUGAAAAUAUAAAAAAGAAAAAUUGGCAAACCUGUUUCCCAAGAGCGAGGACCACAUAAGGAUCACUUGACAUCAUAUCUCUGACAGCUAAAUUUGUACCAUUUUUAAUUCUGAUUUUCAACAUCCCAAUAAAUUCCACCAUCCCUUCCUCCGAAUUCUGUGAUGUACUUGUAAUUCGAAAAUUAUCCAAAAUCUUCCUAGAAAAACUUGAUUGAAGAGAAAGAGUUGAUUUUCCUGAUGUAAUCCGCAAACUAGGUUUCAAAAAUUCUUGAAGCUCAUACUUAGACCUGAUGAAUUUCAUACGCUCGCCAUGAUUUGCAUCUGGUCGCGGCUUUGAAAUGCCUUCAGGUAUAAAGGCUUCAUAUAUUGCAUUAGCAGCCGAGUUUCCUCCAACUUCAAUCAUGGCGUCAAUUUCAUUGUCAGACCAUUCAUCCAAUGUCACAGACAAAACCUACACAAUCCGGAUUAAAAAUGCCCCAAAGUGAGGAAACAUAAAUUUAAACAGUUUUAACUAUUUAAGACAGAUUGUGAGCAUCAUUAUACUGAAAAACACAAAGACAAAAAUAACACAAACAAGUUAUAGGAGCAUCAUACAGGCAUCAAUUCAGUUACUUCAACACAUCUGCAUAUAGAUAACAUUUAGAACUAAGAACAUAAAUGAUUGGCUUGUUUUCCAUAUUUUACACCCUACAAGCUGUCUAAAAAAUUUGAAAUUACUAAUAAGAAACCUUAAUUGACAGAUAAAUGCUUUGUAUGCGAUUCAAUAUUGAAGAAUUUGGUAGUUUGGUUUAUCCCUCAAAACCAAUAAAAACACCCUAGAAGUCAUCUAAGAAAGAUGAAAUAAAAAAAACAAUAAUAAUGAAACUACAACAUGAUACUGUAAAUCUUUUAGGCCACAACUGACUGAUACAUGCUUUUAUAAGUGGCUAAAUAUAGAACACUUAGAAGAGAGAUUGGUUUCUAGUCGGUUGCAAACACCGUCAGUAUCAUUCUAACAUAUUUUCACACUGUGAGGUGGGUUGGCUAUUUAAAAUUCUCUUUGAUGUUUUAAAGGAGAUUGGAAAUGUCUAGACACUUAGCAGACUUUUCUUGGUUUACAAUAGGUCUGGUUUCAUGAUAGAAAAUAGGUUACACUACUUUCAAAAUUUGCAUUGUUUAGGUGCUAUGGUGCAAGGAAUGUUUGUAUCUUCAAAAAUCAGGCCUUGUUGUUUAAUCUGCAGCGGGAUAAGUGGGUUAUUUAUUUGCGUUCCUUGUGGGCCUCUGCUUCACAGGCUUUGAAAGGAUUUCUCUUGAGUGCUAUUCAGCUUAAUUGGACGGGAUUAUUUUUUUUAGUUUCUAGUUUUUCUGUUUGUCUCUUUUGGUUAUUUGAUAGGGGGAUAUCUUAUCCUUCAGGCUGUACUCUCCUUUUUUCAAAAAAUUUUCUUUUGUUAUCCAAAAUUAAGAAUAUAAGAGAGUAGAAAAAUUAAUGAAAUAGAACAUUAUUGUAUUACUUAAUUUAUAUCCUGGAUCCAAAUAUGCUUCUGCAUGUUUUAACCGCUUAAUAUCAUUGAAUCUUCUAAAAUACACAAGUUAAUGCAACCCAUAAUGAAUAUAUACUGAUAAUUCAACUAUCGAUAGAUUUUCUAUGACAUGCAAGUAAAUACAAACCGUGUGCCCGCUAUGACAGCAACAAUGGAGCAUGACCAAAAUUUAGAUAAUAAAAAUGGAGACAAAAAGUGAGUUUUACCUUUGAUACAUGAGAACCAAGGCUUCUGUGCACACCGCAACAUUUUAAGCAAAUAAAAACUCCAAUAUUUGCAGACGCCCAUUUAGGAUCCGGAGCACCACAAUCAGCACAGAAGCGAUUAUCACUUUGUUGCAAUAAUUCUUUUAAUCUUCUUUUACCAGAGGCAGGCCCCUGAAGGUCUGACGAGCGGCUCAUCGCUUUGCUGACAACAAAAUAUCAUCCAACAAAGCCUGUCUCCGCCUAGUUGUCAGCAAUCAAAUUGAAAUCUGACUUGAAAUCCAAAUCCUUUUUCUUCCAGAUAGAAGGAUUGGUCCUUGGUUGUAGAGGUGCAGAUAAAGAGAGAGAGAGAGAGAAUGUGAAGAGCUGCAACCUCCAGAGGAGAAAUUAUCGAGAGCAUUUAUAAUUAAUUAUAAGAAGGCGAUGAAAGGUACGUGAUUUUUAUAUAAUUGAUAAAAGCUAUGGACGUUAAGAUUCCUUCCAUUGUAAUUUCCUGCCUUUAAAUUACAUUAAUAUGAGAUUUGGCCUACCC
rnacentral:misc_RNA from 1 species